rnacentral:rRNA from 1 species
ACUACGGGGGGCAGCAGUGGGGAAUAUUGCACAAUGGGGGAAACCCUGAUGCAGCGACGCCGCGUGAGCGAUGAAGUAUUUCGGUAUGUAAAGCUCUAUCAGCAGGGAAGAAAAUGACGGUACCUGACUAAGAAGCCCCGGCUAACUACGUGCCAGCAGCCGCGGUAAUACGUAGGGGGCAAGCGUUAUCCGGAUUUACUGGGUGUAAAGGGAGCGUAGACGGUCCUGCAAGCCAGAUGUGAAAGCCCGGGGCUCAACCCCGGGACUGCAUUUGGAACUGUAAGGCGAGCGUGUCGGAGAGGCAGGCGGAAUUCCUAGUGGAGCGGUGAAAGGCGUAGAUAUUAGGAGGAACACCAGUGGCGAAGGCGGCCUGCUGGACGAUGACUGACGUUGAGGCUCGAAAGCGUGGGGAGCAAACAGGAUUAGAUACCCCAGUAGUC